GACGAACCGUGCGACCGUUAUUCGGAAUCACUGGGCGUAAAGGGUGCGUAGGCGGCGCGGCAAGUCGGGUGUGAAAUCUCGGAGCUUAACUCCGAAACUGCAUUCGAUACUGCCGUGCUUGAGGACUGGAGAGGAGACUGGAAUUUACGGUGUAGCGGUGAAAUGCGUAGAUAUCAGGAAGAACACCCGUGGCUAAGGCGGCUCUCUAGUACGGUACUGACGCUGAGACGCGAAAGCGUGGGGAGCGAACAGG
rnacentral:rRNA from 1 species